rnacentral:rRNA from 1 species
GAUGAAUGCUGGCGGCGUGCUUAACACAUGCAAGUCGAGCGGUAAGGCCUUUCGGGGUACACGAGCGGCGGACGGCUGAGUAACGCGUGGGAACAUGCCCUAAAGUGAGGAAUAACUGCCCGAAAGGGUGGCUAAUGCCGCAUAUGAUCUUCGGAUUAAAGGAUUUAUCCGCUUUAGGAGUGGCCUGCGUACGAUUAGCUUGUUGGUGAGGUAAUGGCUUACCAAGGGGACGAUCGUUAGCUGGUCUGAGAGGAUGACCAGCCAGACUGGAACUGAGACACGGUCCAGACUCCUACGGGAGGAAGCAGUGAGGAAUCUUCCACAAUGGGCGAAAGCCUGAUGGAGCAACGCCGCGUGCAGGAUGAAGGCCCUCGGGUCGUAAACUGCUUUUAUGAGUGAAGAAUAUGACGGUAACUCAUGAAUAAGCACCGGCUAACUACGUGCCAGCAGCCGCCGUA